rnacentral:rRNA from 1 species
CGGUAAUUCCAGCUCCAAUAGCGUAUACUAAAGUUGUUGCAGUUAAAAAGCUCGUAGUUGGAUUUCUGCGGGGACGGAGCGGCCGGACGCAACUUGCGUCUCGAGCUAGCGCUUUCCCCACAUCCUGCCGCGAACCGUGCUACCAUUAGCUUGGUGGCGCUGGGGAUCGGCUCGAUUACUUUGAGAAAAAUAGAGUGUUCAAAGCAGGCCACACGCCUUGAAUAAGUUAGCAUGGAAUAAUGAUUAAGGACUUCGGUUCUAUUUUGUUGGUGUUCGGGACUGAAGUAAUGAUUGAUAGGGACAGUUGGGGCGGUCUGUAUUCCAAAGCGAGAGGUGAAAUUCUUAGACCUUCGGAAGACAAACAGCUGCGAAAGCGUUCCGCAAGGAUGUUCCCUUUGAUCAAGAACGAAAGUUGGGGGAUCGAAGACGAUCAGAUACCGUCGUAGUCUCAACUAUAAACUAUACCAGCUAGGGAUCGGCCAACGUUUAACUUUAUCGACUUGGUCGGCACCUUAUGAGAAAUCAAAGCAUCUGGGUUCCGGGGGGAGUAUGGUCGCAAGGCUGAAACUUAAAGGAAUUGACGGAAGGGCACCACCAGGCGUGGAGCCUGUGGCUUAAUUUGACUCAACACGGGAAAACUUACCAGGUCCAGACAUAGGAAGGAUUGACAGAUUGAUAGCUCUUUCUUGAUUCUGUGGGUGGUGGUGCAUGGCCGUUUUUAGUCGGUGAAGUGAUUUGUCUACUUAAUUGCGUUAACGGACGAGACCCCAGCCUGCUAAAUAGCGCGGCCGAGCUUUGCUCGGUGCGAGCUUCUUAGAGGGACCAUGAUGCGCGAUAGCACAAGGAAGUUUGGGGCAACAACAGGUCUGUGAUGCCCUUAGAUGUUCUGGGCCGCACACGGGCUACACUGGCGCCUGCAACGAGCAUAUCAGCUGGCCCGAGAGGGUCUUGGCUAAUCUUUGGAACCGGCGCCGUGCUUGGGAUUGACCAUUGCAAUUGUUGGUCAUGCAACGAGGAAUGCCUUGUAAACGCGAGUCAUCAGCUCGCAUUGAAUACGUCCCUGCCCUUUGUACACACCGCCCGUCGCUCCUACCGAUGAAUGUUCCGAUGAAAUUUUCGGAGAGCGCCAGAGAACGGGGCUCUGCCUUGCAGAUCUGGAGGCUCAAAGUCACUUAAAUCUGAACAUUUCGAGGAAGGAGAAGUCGUAACAAGGUAACC